rfam:Ictidomys tridecemlineatus contig072586, whole genome shotgun sequence.
GAUAUAGCUCAGUGGCAGAGUACUUGCCCAGCAUGCAAGAGGCCCUGGGUUCCAUGCCCAGCAUC